AGUGAACGCUGGCGGUAGGCCUAACACAUGCAAGUCGAACGGCAGCACAGUAAGAGCUUGCUCUUACGGGUGGCGAGUGGCGGACGGGUGAGGAAUACAUCGGAAUCUACUUUUUCGUGGGGGAUAACGUAGGGAAACUUACGCUAAUACCGCAUACGACCUACGGGUGAAAGCAGGGGAUCUUCGGACCUUGCGCGAUUGAAUGAGCCGAUGUCGGAUUAGCUAGUUGGCGGGGUAAAGGCCCACCAAGGCGACGAUCCGUAGCUGGUCUGAGAGGAUGAUCAGCCACACUGGAACUGAGACACGGUCCAGACUCCUACGGGAGGCAGAAGUGGGGACUAUUGGACAAUGGGCGGAAGCCUGCUCCAGCCAUACCGCGUGGGUGAAGAAGGCCUUCGGGUUGUAAAGCCCUUUUGUUGGGAAAGAAAAGCAGCAGGUUAAUACCCCGCUGUUCUGACGGUACCCAAAGAAUAAGCACCGGCUAACUUCGUG
rnacentral:rRNA from 1 species